rnacentral:tRNA from 1 species
GCAUUCUUAGCUCAGUUGGAUAGAGCAACAACCUUCUAAGUUGAAGGUCACAGGUUCAAAUCCUGUAGAAU